rnacentral:lncRNA from 7 species
AACAGUAGCCAAGACCAUUACCUGAAUUCAAGAUAAUGUGAAUGAACGUCUGCAUGAGGACUUACCCUGCAAGUUUGUACAUCUUUAAAAAGAAUGUUAAUUGCCUGGACCAGAAAUAUAGGUGAUUGACUUCUUAAAAGAUCUGGUUUUGGAUGCUGUGUCCGAAAGUCAGUACAUAAAUCUACAUCUAGGAAACUAAAAAUGAUUUGGCUUUCAGAGUGCUGAAUCACUUCAGAAACCUGGGACUGCAUACCUUACUUUAUUUAGUGUAGCUGUACAUGUAUAAAAAGAUGCCUGUCCAUUGGAAGACACAGAUGUCAACAGUAAAUACUGGAAAGUGUUUUCUUCAGUUUCCAGGACAGCUUGUUGAAAUCCUAACAGUUAUUAGCUGUUACUAUGCAGCAAGCCUGCUCAUUGAAAAAAAUCAAUGUGUUGAAUGUUCUGCUAUGUGAAAUUGAAAUAAGAUUACUUUAGAAUUGUCCUUGCUUCAUUCCAAAAUGUGCCAAUACUAGCCCAAAAAUCUGCCUUCUACUUAACAGACUGUGUUACUAUACAUACUUCUGUCCACAUGCUUGAAAUCCCAGGCAACAUUGUAUCCUCUUACAUUUGCAUGCAGGGCUGACAUGUUGAAAUGCACAUUUCUUAAUGUCCAGCGUGACUAUGAUUUCAGUGUCCAGUGUGACUGUGGCUUUGUAUAAGUGACAUUAACUUAGUAGUACUUCCAUUGAGUGAUCACUCAUGGACACGGGCUACCAAAUGUUGCAGUUUGUCUGACCAAAUAUAAAGGCAUUGUGAAGGAACUACGUGACAAGUUGCUUACUUAUCUUUCCCUGUAUUAUGUUCAGAAUUCUGAAUUAAGAGUAAUGUUAAAUCCACAAAGGACAUUAGCUUGCUUGAUUAGCAGGAAGGACGUGAAUAGUCAUGGACUAGGAUGUGACAAGGAGAUUAAACUCUCAGCUAUCCCAGAGUGAAUAAAUGAGGUCCCUGAAUGUCAGUAUCUGGAAUAACGAGGAAAGAAAUAAAACGCAGUAUUGUAAAGUUUUGUGUGUUGACAACAGUAAUGGGAAUAACAUAUCCAUUUGAAAUAGAAUGCCUGAGAUUCAAAAUUACAGUCUAGAUGAACUCAUUGCCUACUUCCAAAAUUCUGUUGUAAAACGACUGAACAGCCCUAUACCUUUAUUUGGCAAUAGAGAUGUUCCCUGUGUGUACUGAAGAACUCACUCUACCAGAUGUGUAAAGCAGAUAAAAUGCCCAUUUGUAACUUAAGAUUACUCCUAUUUCUGUUUCUAGAUAAAACAAUAAAAGACAUAGAAGAAUAAUGCAU